rnacentral:rRNA from 1 species
AUUACCCAAUCCCGAUUCGGGGAGGUAGUGACAAUAAAUAACAAUACAGGGCCAACGGUCUUGUUAUUGGAAUGAGAACAAUUUAAAUAACUUAACGAGGAUCAAUUAGAGGGCAAGUCUGGUGCCAGCAGCCGCGGUAAUUCCAGCUCUAAUAGCGUAUAUUAAAGUUGUUGCAGUUAAAAAGCUCGUAGUCGGAUGUCGGGCUCGGGCAGGCUGUCGGCUUCGGUCGGACGGCAGGCUCGGGUCUUUCUGCCUGAGGAACCCGUGGCACUUAACUGUGCGGCGUGGGGACGCAGGCCGUUUACUUUGAAAAAAUUAGAGUGUUCAAAGCAGGCCUACACUUGAAUACAUUAGCAUGGAAUAAUGGAAUAGGACUUUGGUGCUAUUUUGUUGGUUUAUGGGACCGAAGUAAUGAUUAACAGGGACAGUUGGGGCCGUUUAUAUUUCGUUGUCAGAGGUGAAAUUCUUGGAUUUACGAAAGAUAAACUUCUGCGAAAGCAUUCGGCAAGGAUGUUUUCAUUGAUCAAGAACGAAAGUUAGGGGAUCGAAGACGAUCAGAUACCGUCGUAGUCUUAACCAUAAACUAUGCCGACUAGGGAUCAGUGGAUGUCAAUUUGCGACUCCAUUGGCACCUUGUGAGAAAUCAAAGUUUUUGGGUUCCGGGGGGAGUAUGGUCGCAAGGCUGAAACUUAAAGGAAUUGACGGAAGGGCACCACCAGGAGUGGAGCCUGCGGCUUAAUUUGACUCAACACGGGGAAACUUACCAGGUCCAGACAUAGUAAGGAUUGACAGAUUGAAA